UACGCCUUCUAUUAUCAAAUAUUUCUGGAUUGUUUAAAUUGCCAUCUACCAUAGACAAAUCUACACUGACGAAACUAAUAAACUAACUAAAAUUUAAAUAAAUCAAAGUUGAAACUAUUAGGCUACAAUUAAUAUCAAUAAAGUCCAGGACCGGACACGAUAAGAAUAAGAACGUGUCAAACACCAAGAGAAACUCUGGUUUGUAAAAUACUGAAAUAGUAAACGAAUGGCUUGAAUACUAAGUGGAAUGGUUUGAUAGGGUGACUCCCAACUAUCUGUGUAUGUUCCCUUCAUUUUGCUACCUACAUCUGCCGUCUGCGUAUCGCAACAAUAAACGGUUGAAGCCUACUGUAUUGCCAUCAUUUUUUAAUAUUCAAGAGCAGGCAGGCAAACGGAAACGACGUGUGAUCAUAAAACGAAAACAAUAUGGACCAAUUCUCACAGCAGUGUUCUUUAAAUAUAAAUAAAAUGACGAAAAUUCCGACAAUUAAAAUAGAAGAAAAUCAAACAGACGAUUGUUAUUAUUAUUCCAUAAUAUAACAUAAUAAUAUAAUAUAUUGGAGAAGAUUAUAAGCCGUUGUCUGCUUUCAUGGAUAGAUUGUUGUAUUUUUUUUUUAGUGAUAUUCAAACGAGGAAUGCGACAAAAGUCGAAGUCAAGCAAAACAAAGAUAUUGGCAAUAAACUGGUAAAAGGUGUAAUCAUAAAACAAGAAAAUGAAGAUACAAAAGAUGACAUCCCACAAUUCAGUUUUUUCUCUGAAACGAACAAUGAGACAAAAAUUCACUCCGAAGUAGACUUACAAAUUUUGAUGGUUUGAGACUGAGGUACAAAUGGAACAAAAUAUGUUGUUGGACGACCAACUGACCAAAGACACUAAAUAUUACUUUUAAAUAUAUGUACUAUUAUUUCUGUUAAUAAACCGAGCGAUGCGGCGAUUAUGCCAAUUGAAACAAAUGGAAAUAAUACACUCCAAAAAGGAAAACAAAAUUUACCGAAAAGUAAAAAUCCUAACCGGAAGAGGGAAGGGAUCAAGGGAAAAAACGGCAGACUACUCCAUGAAUGUGCAUUGUGUUUGGAGUCUUUUUCAACAAAGUCCAAUCUGGUACAAUACAAACGCAUGCACUUUAACGAAAAAACAAAAGCCUACAAAUUUGACAUGCACUAAGUGUAUUUCAACGCGCUAUGGUCCUAUUCUACACGAACGAAUACACAUUGGAGAAAACCCUUAUACGUGUAGCUUGUGCUCGAAGUCUUUUACGGCCAAAUCCAAACUUUUAUUAUAAAUUGUUUCUCUCUAUAUAUUAUGGUUUAUGUUGCAAUGACCAAACUAAGUAAUAAUUUG